CUUUUGAUGUCAUCUUCCUAUCUACGAUAAUACUGUUGAAAUAAAACAUUGAAAUUUUCAAAACCAAAUUAAGUUACAUAUGCCAACAAAAAUAAAUAAUUCCGUAUCUUUGAGGCCUUAAUCCGUAUACGGUUGAGAAAGUCGCCGAAUCCCUACCCUCGCGGCAGGUAGGGUAUGUGGAAGUUGAACCUCACUAAAAACUUCAGCCGCUCCCAGCCGGCGCCCUACCUCGGACCGGACCAGAGCCCAGUCGGGGCUAUCGAUACGGCGGCACAGGGUUGACACAGAGCAUAUUACAUCCAUCCCGCCGUCACAUUAUAGUGGACAUAGAUCAUCCACGUUAUAACGGAAGCCUUGUACAUUGUCGCGAAACGUAAUACAGGCAAGAAACAUUAUUAACAACCUGGUGACAGAAAGGGAAAGAUACAUUCGCACGCUUGAAAACAAAAAGGGAUAGAUAACGAAAUCAGCCCAAAACUUAUUUGCCGUUUGGUUGAGUUUUACGACACAGAUCAGUUUACUUGAACGCUCCGUAUUUAACUUGGCAAAGAAAACCGCGAUAAAUUGUUGAAUGUUUGACGUCUAGACCCACGUUUAUAAGAAGAUUACGAGGCAUCAUCUCGAAUUUAUGGAGGAGCGCGGCCUUUAAUUAUUGACCCAGAACUUAAAGAAGAUAACAGUUGAACAUCGGGAGAAUGUAGUUUUUCAACCUAUUUCAACAAAAAAGAAAGGAAUAACUGGGCAUUGAGUAAUAUUAGUACACAUUGUACAAACCUCAGACUUAAUACAGAAUUGAUUGUAAAACACUCAGAAAUACGUCAAAUACAAGCAGAAAAAAAUAACAAAGCCGCAAAUCACCUGACCACAAGCGCUUAAUACAAACACAACUACAAUGAAAUAAAAUUCAAUAAUAAGAGGUGACGAUGAAAUAAAACACGCGA